GCAUCGGUAGCUCAGGCCUAGAGCGCCGGUCUUGUAAACCGGAUGUCGAGGGUUAAAAUCCCUCCCUGUGCU
rnacentral:tRNA from 1 species